rnacentral:pre_miRNA from 1 species
AUUAUCUGGGGAUCUUGUUUAAAUGCAGAUUCUGAUUCAGUAGGUCUGGGGUGAGGCCUAAGAUCCUGCAUUUCUGAUAAGCUCCCAGGUGAUGCCAG